rnacentral:rRNA from 1 species
GAUGAACGCUGGCGGCAGGCCUAAUACAUGCAAGUCGAGCGAAGCGGGGACGGGUGAGUAACACGUGGAUAACCUCCUAUAAGACUGGGAAAACUUCGGGAAAACGGAGCUAAACCGGUUGCUUCCCGGUGGGUCCGCGCUGCAUUAGCUAGUUGGUAAGGUAACGGCUUACCAAGGCAACGAUGCAUAGCCGACCUGAGCGGGUGAUCGGCCACACUGGAACUGAGACACGGUCCAGACUCCUACGGGAGGCAGCAGUAGGGAAUCUUGCGCAAUGGGCGAAAGCCUGACGGAGCAACGCCGCGUUAGUGAUGAAGGUCUUCGGAUCGUAAAACUCUGUUAGUAGGGAAGCGGUACCUAAUCAGAAAGCCACGGCUAACUACGUGCCAGCAGCCGCGGUAAUAC